rnacentral:rRNA from 1 species
UACGGAGGGUGCGAGCGUUGUCCGGAAUCACUGGGCGUAAAGGGCGCGUAGGCGGCUUCUUAAGCGUGCGGUGAAAGCCCGGGGCUCAACCCCGGGUCGGCCGUGCGAACUGGGGAGCUCGAGCCCACUAGAGGCAGGCGGAAUUCCGGGUGUAGCGGUGGAAUGCGUAGAGAUCCGGAAGAACACCGGUGGCGAAGGCGGCCUGCUGGGGUGGAGCUGACGCUGAGGCGCGACAGCGUGGGGAGCGAACAGG